rnacentral:rRNA from 1 species
CNUANUANUGCCUUUCCUAGGAUUCCGCGCCGCCGGUGUGAUUAAUAGGUGUAGUCGGGGGCGUCACUAUUGUGCUGUCCAAAGUGUCAUUCUUGGUCUUGCAGAUGACAUUGCCGCGCAAAAGCAUCGGCUUGGAUGUAUUCUUUAAUUAAGAAACGAAAGUUACGGGAUGCAAGACCGGGAUAUUCCGNGGUAGACGUAACCAUAAACAAUGCCGAUAAGGGAACGGACGGGAUUCUAUGAAGACCCGUUCGGGACCUUACAACAAAUCAAUCUUUUUGGAUUCCGGGGGGAGUAUGUCCUUAUGGUGGAAACUUAUGGAAAUUUUCCGAGGGUUACCUCAAAGUAUGCAGCCNGCUCCUUAAUUUGAGUCGCCAUUCGGAAACUUUCCUUGUCCUUAAAAAAUAAGGAUUGACUCAUUGAGAACUCUUUCUUGUUUUUUUGCAUGGAGGGGCCCGAACGUUCUUACUUAGAGGACUGACUUGUCUGCAUAAUUGCUAUUACAAAGUAAACAUCAGCACUGUAUUUGACCGGUCUGCAUUUGCUGACUUUUGGUCUCUGAUGAAGACAAUCAUCCUCAGGCCAAUGCUUUUGCACUAGUUAGUCNUGUCUGUGAUGCCCUUUUCACCUCUGGACCGCUGACGCGCUACACUGACGACGAUCCCUAGUACAUCACACUUGCGGUCCUAGGUCACCNAUAAAAUAGAAAACCCUGUCCUAUUCGUAUGCANNCUUUAAAAUAAA